UCAGAACGAACGCUGGCGGCAUGGAUUAGGCAUGCAAGUCGAACGGUGCAGCAAUGCAUAGUGGCGCAAGGGUGAGGAACGCGUGAGUAAUCUGCCCUCAAGUUGGGAACAGCUUCUGGAAACGGAAAUUAAUACCGAAUGUGACCUGCAGGAGGCAUCUUUUGCAGGUUAAAGGCCGCAAGGUCGCUUGAGGAGGGGCUCGCGUCCCAUUAUGCUAGUUGGUGAGGUAACGGCCCACCAAGGCGAAGAUGGGUAGCUGGUCUGAGAGGACGAUCAGCCACACUGGGACUGAGAACUGCCCAGACUCCUACGGGAGGCUGCAGUCGAGAAUUUUGGGCAAUGGACGAAAGUCUGACCCAGCCAAUGCCGCGUGCGGGAUGAAGGUCUUCGGAUUGUAAACCGCUGUCAAGUGGGACGAAACAAAUGACGGUACCGCUGAAGGAAGUCACGGCUAACUACGUGCCAGCAGCGGC
rnacentral:rRNA from 1 species